rnacentral:rRNA from 1 species
GACGAACCGUGCGAACGUUGUUCGGAAUCACUGGGCUUAAAGGGCGCGUAGGCGGGCUGACAAGUCUGGGGUGAAAUCCCGCGGCUCAACCGUGGAACUGCCUUAGAUACUGUCGGCCUCGAGGAAGGUAGGGGCAUGCGGAACUGUAGGUGGAGCGGUGAAAUGCGUUGAUAUCAACAGGAACUCCGGUGGCGAAAGCGGCGUGCUGGACCUUUUCUGACGCUGAGGCGCGAAAGCUAGGGGAGCAAACGGG